rnacentral:rRNA from 1 species
CCUACGGGAGGUAGCAGUGAGGCAUAUUGGUCAAUGGACGAGAGUCUGAACCAGCCAAGUAGCGUGAAGGAUGACUGCCCUAUGGGUUGUAAACUUCUGUUAGAUGGGAAUAAAAUGUUCAACGAGUGGGAUGUUGUAUGUACCAUAUGAAUAAAGAUCGGCUAACUCCGUGCCAGCAGCGGCGGUAAUACGGAGGAUCCGAGCGUUAUCCGAUUUAUUGGGUUUAAAGUGAGCGUAGGUGGAUUGUUAAGUCAGUUGUGAAAGUUUGCGGCUCAACCGUAGAAUUGCAGUUGAAACUGGCAGUCUUGAGUACAGUAGAGGUGGGCGGAAUUCGUGGUGUAGCGGUGAAAUGCUUAGAUAUCACGAAGAACUCCGAUUGCGAAGGCAGCUCACUGGACUGCAACUGACACUGAGGCUCGAAAGUGUGGGUAUCAAACAGGAUUAGAUACCCUUGUAGUC